CUACGUGCCAGCAGCCGCGGUAAUACGGAGGGUGCGAGCGUUAAUCGGAAUAACUGGGCGUAAAGGGCACGCAGGCGGUGACUUAAGUGAGGUGUGAAAGCCCCGGGCUUAACCUGGGAAUUGCAUUUCAUACUGGGUCGCUAGAGUACUUUAGGGAGGGGUAGAAUUCCACGUGUAGCGGUGAAAUGCGUAGAGAUGUGGAGGAAUACCGAAGGCGAAGGCAGCCCCUUGGGAAUGUACUGACGCUCAUGUGCGAAAGCGUGGGGAGCAAACAGGAUUAGAUACCCUGGUAGUCCACGCUGUAAACGAUGUCGAUUUGGGGGUUGAACUUUGUGUUUGGCGCCCGUAGCUAACGUGAUAAAUCGACCGCCUGGGGAGUACGGCCGCAAGGUUAAAACUCAAAUGAAUUGACGGGGGCCCGCACAAGCGGUGGAGCAUGUGGUUUAAUUCGAUGCAACGCGAAGAACCUUACCUACUCUUGAC
rnacentral:rRNA from 1 species